rnacentral:rRNA from 1 species
GUGAAACCGCGAAUGGCUCAUUAUAACAGCUAUAAUUUACUUGAUCUUGACACAAUCCUACUUGGAUAACUGUGGUAAUUCUAGAGCUAAUACAUGCAUUAAAGCUCUGACCUCACGGGAAGAGUGCAUUUAUUAGAACAAAACCAAGCGGCUUCGGCUGUUUCUGGUUGACUCAUAGUAACUGAGCUGAUCGCAUGGUCUUGCACCGGCGACGUGUCUUUCAAGUAUCUGCCGUAUCAACUUUCGAUGGUAGUGUAUCUGACUACCAUGGUGAUCACGCGUAACGGAGAAUAAGGGUUCGGCUCCGGAGAGUUCGCCUGAGAAAUCGCGAACACAUCUAAGGAAGGCAGCAGGCGCGAAAAUUACCCACUCUCAGCACGAGGAGGUAGUGACGAAAAAUAACGAGACCGUUCUCUUAUGAGGCCGGUCAUCGGAAUGGGUACAAUUUAAA